CUCGGAUAUCUCAUUUUAUCCACAGAAGGUUUCUUUCCUGUUAGCGACAGACGCAUAAACAGGGAAAAGAAGUGAGGACGAGAAAAAGAGAUUCCCUGAUACCACAAACACUUAAAAACAUGAAGGCUCUCAGCUAUACUGGCAUUACAAAACCCAGUUUGUUGCUUUCGCAUUCAGAGUUAUCCGCUCUUACCUUCCGUAUUCCACAGCUAAAUCCUCCAUCUGUUCCCAGAGUUCCAAGUUUAGUCGGGAAGAAUAAUGGGUUGGUAACCAGAAUUGAGUGUUCCAUUGCCGAGAGAACAUUUGCUUCUAGUUCUGCAAAUUCAUCUUUGUCAAAGUUGUCCACCACUCCUUCGGUUCAGCAUCAAAGAGGCUCAUCUUCCUUGUACAGUAGGCCCAGUUUACUGGAAAUGAAAAAUGAGAGAAUUGCUAAUAGAGCCAGAAUUUAUGAGUUCUUGAGGGGACUUGGUAUUGUUCCUGAUGAGCUUGAUGGUCUGGAGCUUCCUGUCACAGUUGAGGUCAUGAGAGAGCGUGUUGACUUCCUUCACAAAUUGGGGCUCACAAUUGAAGAUAUAAACAACUACCCCCUUGUUCUUGGCUGCAGUGUGAAGAAGAACAUGAUUCCUGUGCUUGAUUAUCUUGGGAAAUUGGGAGUCCGGAAAUCCACUUUUACAGAUUUUUUGCGGAGAUAUCCUCAAGUCCUCCAUGCUAGUGUUGUUGUAGAUCUUGCACCUGUUGUCAAAUACCUCCAAGGGAUGGACAUUAGACCAAGUGAUAUCCCUCGAGUUCUUGAGAGGUAUCCAGAGGUAUUGGGGUUCAAACUUGAGGGGACCAUGAGCACAUCUGUGGCUUAUUUGGUUGGAAUUGGCGUGGCAAGAAGAGAAAUUGGAGGGGUUCUAACCAGAUACCCAGAGAUAUUGGGAAUGAGAGUUGGCAGGGUGAUCAAGCCUUUUGUGGAGUACCUUGAGAGCCUAGGGAUACCAAAACUAGCUGUGGCUAGAUUGAUUGAAAAGCAGCCUCACAUCCUCGGAUUUGGAUUAGACAAUCGAGUGAAACCAAACGUGCAAGCCCUUUUAGAGUUUGGUGUGAGGAAUGAGGCACUUGCUUCUGUGAUAGCACAAUAUCCUGAAAUUAUGGGGAUUGAUCUGAAACCAAAACUUGUAUCUCAACAGAGCUUGCUGAACUCAAGUAUUGACGUGGGUCCUGAGGAUUUCUGUAGAGUUGUUGAAAAGAUGCCACAGGUUGUUAGCCUCAGUCAAUCUCCUAUAUUGAAGCAUGUGGAUUUCCUAAAGAAUUGUGGAUUCUCCUUACCACAAAUCAGAAACAUGGUUAUGAAAUGCCCCCAGUUGCUUGCUUUGAAUCUCGACAUAAUGAAGCUUAGCUUUGAUUAUUUCCAGGCAGAAAUGAGUAGAGAUUUGGAUGACCUGGUAGCAUUUCCAGCUUUCUUUACUUAUGGUUUGGAGUCAACAAUAAAACCUAGGCAUCAGGUGGUCACCAAGAAAGGCUUAAGAUGUUCUCUUGCAUGGCUUCUUAACUGCUCAGAUGAGAAGUUUGAGGAACGGAUGGAUUAUGAGUCUAUUGACAUGGAGGAGAUGGAAAUGGAGACAUCAUUCAACAUGAAUACACUGUUGGGACCAAGGGGAGAUGAGUUGUCUUCUGAAGAUGAAGAAGACAGUGACGAUGAAUACACAUAAACUGGUAUUGAUGAGAAGCAUUACAGAAUUGUCUGUUGUGGAGAAAAUACAGCUUUUUUUGAGCUGAAUCUUCUUGAGAAUACCUGGGACUAGUACUUGAGAAGUAGAACAGGUUGAGCUUAGAAUUAUGAGGUGUCACAUUAGCAUCUGUCUUGCAACAACCAGUUGCUGCUUUCCAGAUUUGUAAUAGACUUCUCCAACUUUCUGCUUGGUCUGCCAGUAAUAUUUACAGGGUCUGCUCUUUGUCAAUCCAUAUAAUUAGUUGGUUGAAGACUUCUGUAAUCCAUCAAGCUGGUUGCAUAUUUAGUCAAAUUUCAUAGUUGCAUCAAGUUGAUAUUAAAUAGAAUGGAUUGGUGAAACAGGAUUUAUGUAGCUAACCCCAUAUAGUUGGGGUAAGGCAUGGAUGAUGAUGACUGAUGCGAUGCAAUCUCUUCUGAAGUUCAUGUAAUAUAUUGUAUUGCGCAGCUAAGUAUUUGGCAAAGAUUAAUCUCCAAUACCCAA